rnacentral:rRNA from 1 species
UACGUAGGGUGCGAGCGUUAAUCGGAAUUACUGGGCGUAAAGCGUGCGCAGGCGGUUUUGUAAGCCGGAUGUGAAAGCCCCGGGCUCAACCUGGGAAUGGCAGUGGAAACUAGGGGACUGGAAUCUGGCAGAGGGGGGUGGAAUGCCGCGUGUAGCAGUGAAAUGCGUAGAGAUGCGGCGGAACACCGAUGGCGAAGGCAGCCCCCUGGGCUGAGAUUGACGCUCAGGCACGAAAGCGUGGGGAGCAAACAGG